GGCUUCGUGGUGUAAGGGAUAGCACACUCGGCGCGUAUUCGAGAGGUCCGAGGUUCGAAUCCUGGUGAAGCCA
rnacentral:tRNA from 1 species